CUAAAUAGACGGGUUGACAUUUUGUUGGGCCCCUUUUGUUUUUUUAGAGGGACAAUCGACCGUCUUGGGUGAGGGAAGGCAAAAGGCAAUAACAGGUCGGAAGGCCUUAGAUGUUCCGGAUGCACGCGCGCUACAUGACAGAGACACCUAGUGGGGCCCCUUGUCCGAAAUGACUGGGUAAACUAGUGAAACUUUGUCGUGCUGGGGAUGGAGCUUUGUAAUUUUUGCUCUUCAACGAUGAAUUCCUAGUAAGCGCAAGUCAUCAGCUUGUGUUGACUUCGUCCCUGCCCUUUGUACACACUGCCCGUCGCUACUACCGAUUGAAUGGCUUAGUGAGGACUUGGGAGAGUACAUCGGGGAGCCAGCAAUGGCACCCUGACGGGUCAAACUCUUACAAACUGGUAAUUUAGAGGAAAUUAUAAUAGAAUCC
rnacentral:rRNA from 1 species